rnacentral:rRNA from 1 species
UGCAAGUCGAACGGUAGCACAGAGAGCUUGCUCUCGGGUGACGAGUGGCGGACGGGUGAGUAAUGUCUGGGAAACUGCCUGAUGGAGGGGGAUAACUACUGGAAACGGUAGCUAAUACCGCAUAACGUCGCAAGACCAAAGAGGGGGACCUUCGGGCCUCUUGCCAUCAGAUGUGCCCAGAUGGGAUUAGCUAGUAGGUGGGGUAACGGCUCACCUAGGCGACGAUCCCUAGCUGGUCUGAGAGGAUGACCAGCCACACUGGAACUGAGACACGGUCCAGACUCCUACGGGAGGCAGCAGUGGGGAAUAUUGCACAAUGGGCGCAAGCCUGAUGCAGCCAUGCCGCGUGUAUGAAGAAGGCCUUCGGGUUGUAAAGUACUUUCAGCGGGGAGGAAGGUGUUGUGGUUAAUAACCGCAGCAAUUGACGUUACCCGCAGAAGAAGCACCGGCUAACUCCGUGCCAGCAGCCGCGGUAAUACGGAGGGUGCAAGCGUUAAUCGGAAUUACUGGGCGUAAAGCGCACGCAGGCGGUCUGUCAAGUCGGAUGUGAAAUCCCCGGGCUCAACCUGGGAACUGCAUUCGAAACUGGCAGGCUAGAGUCUUGUAGAGGGGGGUAGAAUUCCAGGUGUAGCGGUGAGAUGCGUAGAGAUCUGGAGGAAUACCGGUGGCGAAGGCGGCCCCCUGGACAAAGACUGACGCUCAGGUGCGAAAGCGUGUGGAGCAGACAGGAUUAGAUACCCUGGUAGUCCACGCCGUAUACGAUGUCGACUUGUAGGUUGUGCCCUUGAGG